CAGAGGUGACGUCACAAAAGAUCAACAGACAAAUUAUUUCUCAGCUGAUUAACUUAUAUCGGCUGACUAACUUGGGUGAACGAAUACCUGCCUAUGAUGGUAUGAAGAGCAUUUACACUGCAGGGCCGCUGCCUUUUGAAUCGAAGGAAUUCAUUAUCACGUUACCUGAUAGUGAUCCUCGUCCCAGCUCAUCUGCCAGCCCGGGGUAUCUCAUGCUUUUAACACGUGUGUUUCUUGAAUAUUGUUGAUUGUGAGUUUUCUUGAUUUAAUGUGUCGAGUGAUUUCUUAUGCAGAACGGAGCGUCAGUUUAGGGUGGUUAUCAGAUUGGCGUCGCAGCCUUAUGUUUACACUCUACAGAAGUUCAUACAAGUGCUUGAUGUUGUUCUCAGAGCAGCUCCAUCAGAGAAGUAUUUAACCUUAACUGUGUUAAUAAAAGUUUCACUUUUUGGUAUGUAUGAUAUAGGAUGUUCCGUGCCCAUGCCAGCAUUUGCUUGUUCAUGCAACUGAUUGAGCAUUUGAUUUCUGAGGAACAAUUUUAUUAUUGUCUAUUUUGUGCCUUGAACAAUUUAGGUUUUAGAAUGGUUAAUUAAUGAAAUGAUGAACUUCUGCAUCAGGCAUACAGUUGUGGGAAGGUCAUUUUUCUCAACUGAUCUUGGACCAAUGGGUCAGCUUGGUGAUGGCAUUGAAUAUUGGCGUGGAUAUUUUCAGAGUCUUCGCCCAACCCAAUUUGGGCUAUCUCUUAAUAUUGGUUUUUCUCAUUAUAUUUUAUAUAAUUUGAUGCUGCUUAUCUUUAUAUUAUCCAAGCUUGAUUUUUUCUUUUUUAGGUGCAGCACUGCUACAUAAAUAUUUGCUUUUGCUGUUGCAGAUGUUUCAGCCAGCUCCUUUUAUAAGCCAAUUCUAGUUACUGAGUUUGUUCAGUAUUAUUGCAGCGACUUAUCACGUCCUCUUUCUGAUCAAGUGCGUCUGAAGGUAUUGUCUAGUCUUCUUUCGUGAUGUCAUGGUUAUAAUUAAUUUAGUAUCAACUUAAUGAGCUAUCUAUUGGGCGGUUAAAAGUUUUAAUUGAGGGCUGCAGCACCGUAAUAUAUUUGUGAUAAGAGCCUUUUCAAAGAAUGAUCACAGAUUUGUUAGGCAAACCGUUCAGUAAUGUUUUAGAUGCUGUGUAUAAUUAAUUGCAAGUAAUUAGCAGUUUAAAAUUUCAAAUUUCUUGCAAAUUUUGGAUAGGGUAAUUUCUUAAUUUGUGGCUGAACUGGUGGGUAGUGAGUAGUGUUGUUCUCGGCCAUUGAAAUCUAAAUAGAAUGAGCUCCCAAGUCUAGGGGGAAUAGAAUGUUGAUGACAGUGUUUGAUGAUUAAUGUAGGAAGUUGGUGUAUAAUUUGGCCUAUAAUUCUGAUGAUAAAGAAAUGAGAUCUUGAAAUGGCGGUUUUAAAAAUCUUCCACGCAUUCAUUUGCAAUUGUACAGUUAUCUUGAUCAACUUAUUAUCAUUCCGUUACGUAUAUUAGCAAUCUUUUGAACUAUCUGUAAAAUUUUUACUUUCGAUCUAUUUUGGCCGCUAUUUGACAACCGCCCUUUAAUUAUUUUCAAAAUUAUUGCUGGGAAUGGGAUAGAGACAUGUGGUCAAUGAUAUUAAUAUACUUGUUUAAUUCUUGACUUCUAGGUGAAAAAGGCAUUGAAGGGAAUAAAGGUAGUGCUCAGGCAUAUGGGGUACAACUUAAGUUGCAAGAUCACUGGAAUAACCAGUCAACCGAUGAGCCAAGUAAUGUAUGUGUGUGUGUAAUUAACUGAUAUACAAGUGUAAGAACACUGUCCAACGUGUGGUGAUAGAGUGUGAUAACAUAACUUGGUGGUUUGGUUGUGUUUAUGUUGGUCGAUUUGUUUAUGUUAGCUGAUUCUUGAGUCCCCCACGCCAUUUGAGAAGCAUACUUUAUGUUGCCUGCUUUUGUCGUCAUCUGAAAUCCACAUAUGGUUAAAUUUGUCUUUUGUGUUGUAUUUUAUGUAUGAUUGAACUACUUGGUGGUAAAAAGUUUGGCGGAUGUGUCUCAAAUCAAUUUCUCAAAUCUGAUAUGUGAUAGUAGUUGGCUACUAUGUAGUGCGAUGGUCACUUGAUAUUGCCUGUAACAGUGAUGUAUCCCUCCUUCCAUGUUAUAGUCGGAAUUCACGUUAUAUCUUCCCUUUGAUUGUAUUUGCUAGGUUUACUUGUGACAAUGAGACAAGGUCGGUGGUUCAAUAUUUUCUUGAAAAACAUAAAAUUGCGCUUCAAUUCACGUCAUUGCCUGCCCUUGAAGCUGGAACUGAAGAGAGGCGCAUUUAUUUGCCAAUGGAGGUUCUAUGAUCAAAAGACUACUUUCGUUCUUUGUGUCUGGAAAAUAAUUUAUUUAAGACUUAUUUAUAGAAUAUUUUUGUUUACAGCUUUCUAGGAUUGUCGAGGGACAGAGAUAUACUAAAAGAUUAAAUGAAAGACAAGUAACUGCUCUUUUAAGAGCAACCUGUCAGCGUCCUCAGGAUCGUGAAGCAAAUAUACAGAUGGUAGAGCAUUGUUGUAAUUUCUUACAUCUGUGGUGGAUCUUUUUUGGAUGAUUAAUCUGGGAGCUAUCUUCUUGUGAACAAAGAGAGUUUCUGAUUCUUGCUUCUGGGUUUGACAUUCUUCUGCAGAUGGCUAGGGAAAAUGCUUACAAUGAAGAUACUCUUGUGAACAGAGAGUUUGGAAUUCAAGUGGUUGAUGGUCUUACAUCGGUUAAUGCUCGAAUCCUACCUGCUCCAAUGGUAAUUAUGUGUCAUUUUGUUUUAUUUGUAACAGGAUUAUGGUACUUCCAAUCUCCUUAUGCUUAACUUUACCUCCUGUAAUGCUGCAGCUUAAAUAUCAUGAAACUGGCCAAGAAGCAAGCGUGAAUCCUGAUUUUGGGCAAUGGAACAUGAUUAACAAGGUGAAUUACUGAUUAUUAUUUUAUUCUGUAGCUGUUGAUUUGUGCUUAGGAAGAGCAUAGGGAAGCAGUUUCCACUUGUUUAAAUUGGUUGAGGGAUGUUUAUUGACUGAUGGGUAGGAUGGGUUGGAAGUUGAUUUGCUAAAUUUGAUGCAAUGUGGAUGUGCUGCAUUUCCUUUGCAACCAUAAUUUUUUUAUUUUUUUUUUCAUUUUAGCAUGCUGUAAUUUCUAUUUAGUUAUAUACUUUUUCAUCUUUGACAAGCAUUGUAUCUGAUAUUCACUUAGGUAUUUGGAUUGUAUGUGCUUGGUGUUCAGCUCAAUCCACUUUGCCUUCUGAAGGAGAAGCUUUUAUUUGUUUACACUGAAUUAUUUUGUGUAAUUUUGGUUGUACAGAAAAUGUUCAAUGGUGGGAGGGUGGAAGUUUGGACUUGUAUGAACUUCUCAACGUGUUUGAACCAGGAUGUGAUCGGGUUCUGUCAACGGUUGGUAGAUAUGUGCAAUAGAAAGGGAAUGGUAUGGUAAUGUUAAUGGUAUGGUAAUGUUAUUUGUUUUGCAAUGGUAUGGUAAUGUUAUUUGUUUUGCAAUUCAUGCUAGCAAUUUAGGUUAAUGGUCUCUCUGAACCGACUUUUUUCUUUUGGGGGGUCUGUGUUUAUCAUGCCAGGUAUUUAACCGGCGGCCUGUCAUUCCCAUAAGUUCAUACAACCCAUAUCAAAUUGAGAAGGCACUUGUAGACGUUCACAAUAAGACUACACAGCCAGGGAAACAGCUUCAGCUGUUGAUAAUUAUUUUACCAGAUGUUCGCGGAUCAUAUGGUGAGUGAUAAAUUUAAUCAAGGAUUAAACUUUAAUGUCAGCUUUGGUUUUGUUCAACAUUAUCGGCUUUCUGCUCGCAGGAAGAAUUAAGCGAGUUUGUGAAACGGAACUUGGGAUUGUUUCACAAUGCUGUCAGCCUAAGCACGCAUCCAGUCGCAACAUGCAGUAUUUUGAAAAUGUGGCUCUUAAAAUCAAUGUGAAGGUUUGCUUUGCCCCCAUUUUUUUGCGUGUUCAUUAUCAUGGUUAAUAUUUGAGAACCAAUACAAGGGUUGGCAGGAAAACAUGUAGGAGAUGAAUUUUUUUUUUUUUUUGGCAAUUUAAUUUCAGUCUUGAUUUGCUGUAAUUAUUGUAAUUUUUUUUUUCAAAUAAUCAAAUUCUGAUGUUCAAGAUAUUUUUAUAAGUGUUUGGGAGUGCCAAAAUUUCUUGUUAAAAUUGAUAGGUUUGCUUAUUGGUACUGGAGAUUCAGUUUGCUAUUUGUAAUUUUAUCAGGUUGGAGGACGAAACACUGUGCUCGAUGAUGCUGUUCAGAAAAGAAUUCCUCUUGUGACUGAUAGACCUACAAUUAUAUUUGGUGCAGAUGUCACCCAUCCACAACCAGGAGAAGACUCUAGCCCUUCAAUAGUGGCCGUAUGUGCACUCAUUUUCUGUUUCUGCUUUCUAGUAAUUCACUCUGUUGAAAGAUUGAAUUGACUGAGACAGGUGGUGGCCUCAAUGGAUUGGCCAGAAGUAACCAAGUACAGAGGACUUGUCUCUGCUCAGGCACAUAAUGAGGAAAUUAUCCAAGAUCUCUAUAAAUCUAUUCAAGAUCCUCAGAGGGGUUUAGUUCAUGGAGGGAUGAUCAGGUUAGUAGGCAUGGAAGUACAUAUCAGGUGCCUUAUUAUUAAGAGAACCUUAUGCUUCUGUUUGUCUUUACAGGGAACUGUUAAUUGCCUUCAAAAUAUCAACCAACCGUAAACCUGAGAGUAUUAUUUUCUACCGGUAAUGGCUGUUUUCAAUGUUAAACUGCAUGUUUUGUAGAAUGUUACUGAUGUUGUUUCAUUUAUGUGCCAGAGAUGGUGUUAGUGAAGGGCAGUUCAGUCAGGUUUUGCUCCAUGAAAUGAAUGCUAUCCGACUGGUAAUGCUGAUGAGUCCUGAAGUUAAUACAAUUUUCUUGUGUUCUAGAGAUUUUCAAUACCUAGUUUCAGUUAAUUUCUUGUUGAUGACUUUUGUUGCAACAUGCUAAAUUGACUUAUUUGCAGGCCUGUGCCUCACUUGAGGAGGGAUAUGCGCCACCAGUUACGUUUGUUGUGGUACAGAAAAGGCAUCAUACUCGCCUUUUUCCUGCUGAGCACAACAGACGUGAUCUGACGGAUAGGAGUGGAAAUAUUUUACCAGGUUCCAAGUUUGCUUUGUAUUAUUAAUCUUUAUUUUCUAUUUGCUUCUUUUGAGUAUUCACAAUGGGUGGGAACCAUGUUGUUGCUUCACCUUGUCUUUGAUGAAUACUUUUGGGAUGUUCUUGUGUUAGGAACUGUUGUCGAUACUCAAAUUUGUCACCCUACAGAAUUUGAUUUUUACCUCAACAGCCAUGCAGGAAUUCAGGUAAAAAAAAAAGAAAAUAAGUUUGCUCUUUCAAUCCAAAUAUUUUUCAUCCAGACUUGUUAAACAAUGCCCCCCCCCCCCCCCAAAUUUUUUAAUUUGUUGGACUGAUUAAGGUGUUUGUUCCAGGGAACCAGUCGCCCAACUCACUACCAUGUAUUGUUUGAUGAGAACCGUUUUACUGCAGAUGGCUUGCAAGUGUUAACAAAUAACUUGUGUUACACGUAAUAUGUUUACCUUCUCUAUAACCGGAUUUAAUAUUGCAUUGUUGAAGAAUUUAUCUUUCGAAUGGUUAUUUUGUAAGUUUUUGACUCGUGGCCCAUUUUCAGGUAUGCAAGGUGUACUCGAUCAGUUUCAAUAGGUCUGACGCUUCGUACUUCUAUUGUUUUACUAAAAAUAUUUUGAGUCAAUGAAUUAUUAUGAUUCUGGCUAGCAUUGAUUGAUUUUUUUUUCUUUUUAUUUUUUGUAUUGGCUGUUUUCAUAUGGCAGUGCCUCCUGCAUAUUAUGCACAUUUAGCAGCUUUUCGGGCUCGUUUUUAUAUCGAAGACGAAACAUCUGCGGGUGGAUCCACAGGAGGGACUAGGAGCACGGCGGAGGGGAGUUUGGCUAUCCGGCCUCUUCCCGUCAUCAAGGAUAAUGUGAAAGAUGUAAUGUUUUACUGCUGAAAGUAGUCUCCAGCAUCAAUCCUCUUUGUCAUGGUUUUCAUCAAGGCUUGACGUGUUUUGGUAUAUGGAGUACCAGCGUGGUGCCCUUUUUGGACAGUACUGUUAUUUUGGGAGUAGUUUCAAAUUGGACAUCAAGGGUAGAAACUGAUUCUCCUUAUUUUAAAAUGUUAGCUGCAUAUUGUCCUGGUUAAUGCCUUGUAAAUUUAAAUGCCAAAAAACUUCAUUUCUUAUUUUAAAAAUGUUUCUGAUUCUCCUUAUUUUAAAAAUGUUAGCUGCAUAUUGUCCUGGUUAUUUGAUCUCACUGCACUCUUUUUUAAAUUAACAUUUUUAUUCUGAAAACAUAAUUGGAUCAAUUAUAUAUUUGAUCUUAUUCUCUCUCUCGACAAAAUGGAGAAAAAUAUUAAAUAAGUUGUUUUUACAAAAUUUAACAAACACUAUUUUUAUUAAAAAUUAUGAAAUAAGUAAGUUAUUGAAUUUCAACUGCAAUCCUAAACUGACUCUUAGUUAAUCAAAUAUUUUUUGUGACUUUUGAAAAUUAGUGAAUUAAAAUAAUAAACUAUAAUUAAAAAAUGGUUGUAAGAAGGAAAAUUAAAGUUUGCCUCAAUUGUUUGAUUAGGCGAAUGAUGCAUGUAUACGGUUGGGUACAUGUAGUUGUUUUUAACUAAGAUGUAUAAAUAGAUGAACAAAUACUGCAAAAGCGAAAGUAUUGAAUUAAAAAAUGUCAUAAAAAUUUCUUCAAAGUAUUAAACUGUGUAUGCUUCUUCUUUUUUUCUUUUUUUUUACUUUCAAUUACUCGUUAUUCUUCUUGUACGGUGGCUUCCGAAUUACUUUCUUUACUUUUUGAGAGCUCAAGCAAUUCCGUUGCUUCUUCCACUUUUGCAGCCAAUGACUCAAAAGUGAAUCCAACAGCACGAGCAGCUCGGAGUGAUCCAUUUCCAAAAGCAUCUCAGUAAUCUUUGGUGAAAGACCACAUUGUCCAAAAGUUACUUACAUGUAAAUAUCAUUAAACCAAAGCUUAAAGCAGGUGAAAAUUAUUAGUACAUUCGCAGAAGGUUAAAACUUCAAUUUACUCCCUUAUUUUGAAUAACAAUCUACUAUUUACCUCAAAAAUAUAAAAACAUCAAUUUAUCUCUUUUAUCAUUAAAAAGACAAAAAAAAAUAUUAUUAUCAACACCCUUUUCGUUUGUCCUAAUCUUUUGAACGAAAAUGAAAGUAAACUGAAGAUUAUCAUUUUACCCGAAGAUGAAUCAAAAUUGACCCUUAACAAAAAAUAUGAGUAAUCACCUUGAGUUUCUUCAGCAGCGGGUAGAGUCUUUGGCCAAGAAUAUCUUUCCUUUCAUUAGGGAAAGCAGCAGCAAGGAUGCUGCUCAAAUUUUCAUUGUAAGCAGCAGCUCUUUAAUUCCCAUUUGUCAGCUCUUUGAUUCCCAUUGGAAAAUUUAGCAUGCCCAUUCAUCCUUCCUCCUCUAUAUUGCCUUACAGAAUUAGGAGCCUGUAAUACAAAAUUUUUAAUCCCAAAGUUAAGCAGAAGCGCAACAAUUCCAAAUACAUCCUAAACUUGAUUUUACGUUACCAUUAGAAACAAAGGAGAAGGAGGAGGAGGUGAAAAUCCAUUAGGAAUCAUGCCACCAUGCUUAAACCCUGGUGCUUGGUACACUUGUAAGGCACGUUGAUAAAGGGUCGGAUGCAUAGGAAAAAUGGUGCUACCAAGUCCUGGCCCUUGCUUUGCAUACAUCAUUUGUAGGUACGAAGUUCUUUCUCACUUUGUUUAAGCAAUGGCCACAUACAAUGGCUUUUGAUGAAACUAAGAUGCCAUUCAGAGUAUUUAUGGCUCCAUUGGCUUCAUCAGGAUUAGAGAAACACACAAAUCCGAACCCUUUGCUAAUACCUCGAUUAGUUCUCAUGAUCUUAACAGAGCUGCGUCAUCAUUUAUGUUCUUCACGUACAAAUUUUUAUCCUACACUUGACAAACAUCUUGAUUUUAGCAGGAUUUAACAAACGAAAAUAACGAUAUUAAUUGAGAGAGCAAAUAACGAAAACAAAAAUUGUAUAAUUCGGCACGCUCUCGUUGCAUUCUCUCAAAUUAAGCGCGUAAAAUCGCCUUUCGUACCGUUAGCAUCUUUUGAGAUAACCAAACUUAUUUAAUAUUUUUCCAAACUCGAAGAAUUUCGUACAGGUUGUUAAAUGAAGCACUUUCUUGAAUCCUGCCAGCCCUUCUGAUGAAUGGACCAACAUAGCUGCCAAUUAAUGCCGGUGAACAUUAUGAAUGUGACAAAUAGUAAAUAAAUUAGCAUACAUACAAAGAUGGCACAUACAGGUACAGCUCCAUUCCUUCAACGGUAGCAGCAUAAAGCUUCUCAAUAGCAUUGAGUGCAGAUUCUGGCGUUGAGUAUUGGACAAAGCCAUAGCCUUUGCUUUUCCCAUCUUGAGACACAACAACCUUGGAGCUUGGAGGACUGAAUGUCUCCGAAUUUGGAAAAUAUUUGAUGGAGCUUCCAAUUGUCUAUUGUACUAGCCAAGUUCUGCCAAGUGUAUAUAUAUAUAGGAAACAUCAGACAAAAUGAUGAUCAACUAACUAAAUGUUUUCAUAUCCCAUGAAAAAAUUUUGUAAUUAAUUACCUUAACGAACACUUUUCCAACUCAAUCUGGCUUCAGAAUUGGGUGUCGACUACAUUACUCUAAUUGCUUUACCAUUCAGUAUUGUAUAAUUCAAUGCCUCUAUAGCCUUUGUUGCUGAUAAAAAAAUUAUAAAAGUUAAAGACGUUCAUUAGGAAUAUAUUUCAAUUGUUAUGAAAGUAAGCCGGCAAAUCGUUUCGAAUUUAAUUAGAAGAACAAUGUCGCGUCUGGCUUUUUUUUUUAUUAUUAUUACACGAGACAAUUUCUCAAGAGUACAACUCAUAUUACAUUAGAUUACAAUUUAUAUUUAUAAAUCAGAUUAUUACUGGGACUAGUUUACAUCAAUUCUUAUGAAACACUGUCCGAACUUUUACUCUCUCUAACAUUCGAAGGAUGUUUACUCUACUCACAUUUCGAAAUGAAAAAAACUGUCUUCACUCAAUUAAAGAAGGAAAUUAAAUCCCCAACAAUGCAUUGUGGGAGCUUAAACCCAUGACUUCACAAUUGUAAGGUUUGGGUUCUAAUCACUGGCUCGCCCCAUGCAAGGGUUUUGAUUAUCGCUCUUGACCAACUCCCAAACUUGUAGCCCUAACUCUAAUUAACAUUUCCUGAAACCCUAGGGUUUAGUCAAGCUGUUUUCAAGUAAUUUUAUUUAACUGACUAAUCAUUGCUCUAGUUCAAAUUCUGGGAAAGACAGAUGGUUAAAGAAUAGAUUGGUGUACGUUCUGUUUCCCGUAUUAUGGAAUUAUCUGCAAUAAUUCACUUUAUACAACAAAGAGUUGUACACAUAUAACUAAAAGUACAUAUUUGAUUCAAUUAAUUUAACUUAGGUAAUUAAAAUAGUUUUAGGAAAAUAUGUAUAUAUAAAUUAUGAACAUGCAUGCACGUACCACAGUGAAAGGAAUGAAAGUUGGCGUAGCCAUAGCGGAGUGAACGUCGAUGGAAGCUAUCAACGCAGAGCAUAGCCGAAGCAAGUCCUUCGAGUUUUGAGAACGAGAAGGUCUGAAUGAGCUGUUGUUCUGUUACUGUGGAGUCGAGGUCUCCAACGUAGAGCGAGAACAGUGUCCCCAGAAUUGCAGAGUCAUUAUUAUUAUGAGCACGAAGAGAAACUUCCAUGUUUAAUGAAUGAAUCAAUAUCAGAGAUGACACAAUAUUAAUUGCUUGAGUUCAUCAGAGCAACAAACUAUGUGUAUAGUUAAUUAUUUAUUAAGAACAUAACUAAGAAGUUGUGAUAACGUGUAAUUCCUUUCCUCUUUAGGAAUUAGCUUUCUUAUUGAAUUCUGAUUUUAUUAUAGAAGAAACGACUAUAAGGGGGUGCCAAGCUUAAGCCCGCGCAUUGGCGGAAUGCAGAAGCUACACUAUCUCUCUCUAUAUAUAGUAGAACCUCUAAAUAGACAUACUCUAUAUAGAAAUAAUCUCUUCAUGGUAAUAAAAAAUUGUGAUCACAACUUAAAACUAGUUAUAAUUAAGAAUAAACUCCACAUUAUAAUAAGUUAUAUUUUUUGUAGAUCUCGUCUUAAAUAAACUUACCUUCACAUAGUAAUAAUAUUUCAAAAAUAUAUGUCAUGUUACGUUAAAUAAUUAAGAUAUAACAAAAUAUCUUUUUAAAGUUACAACCACAUCCUUCAACUUGCAGGUAUAUAUUAAUUGGUCAGCAUAGGCAUUUUCUUGUUAAAACUAAAAUAUUUCUAACUUCUCAAAUAUAUUAAACUGUCUUUAGUAAUAAAUUACAUUAGAAACAUUUUAGUGACAUAAAAUUUUAUUAAAAUGUAAAUAAUCCCACUUGCUACGAAUCUUUUUAUGUUUGAAUCGAAAAGUUUCGGUAACUUUCUUGUCAAAAAUAAAAAAUAACAACUCGUUUAUGUUAUUCGAUUCCCUUUCUUUUUAUUUUUUAUUUUUUGAGAGAGAUAUUCGAUUCCCUUUCAAAUGCAAACAAAAAGACAAAUUCUUGACCAAAGUCAAUUAAGUUGGUAGCUUGGAUAUUUGAAUAGGAGUCUUCACGUGCUUCAUUUUUAAGAAUCGUCAUCAUUCUUCUUUCCAAAAAGGAAAUAAGGAAAAAUAAUAAUAAUAGUAGAGCGAAGAAACAAAGAAAACUAUGAUUCGAAGUCAAAAGAAUUCAAUUUUUGAUGAUCAGUAUUCGUUUAAUUUUUAUAUUUUAAAAUAUAUCUUAAAAUAUUUUUGUUGUUAAUUAUGUUACACUUUUUAGUAUUGCAUUUUAUUUUUUUUGACAAUAAUACAUUAAUAAAAAUAAAUAUUAAUUUAUCGAAUUAAACGUAAAGGUAAAAUAAUGAUAAUACUACUAUUAUUAUUUAUUUUAUUUGUAAACUAUUAUUAUUUUUACUUUUGUGGUUAAUUAGAUAAAUAACAUAUUUAAAUCUUAUUAUUGUAUUGUUACAAUAAUAUAUUUUAUUAUGAUAAUUUAAUAUAUUUAAAUUAAUAAAUAAUAUUAUUUAUUUUUUUUACAAAUUAUUAUUACUUGUUUAUGGUUAAUUCAAUAAAUUAAUAUAUUUCUUUUCUUUGAUGUAUUAUUACAAGAGUAUUAUUGUAGAAACAAAUAAAAUGUAAGAGUAAAGGGUGUAACAUAAUUAACAACAAAAAUAAUAGAUUAAUAUUUUUAUAUUAAUAUCUCCAAGAUUGUUACAAGGUAUUAUUGUCAAAGCAAAACAAAAAUAAGGACAAUAAUAAAACAUAUUAUAAUAUCUAACUAUAGUAACUGAACAUAUACUUAACCUAAAAUGUAAUAUCUAAAUGAACACUUUACCUACUUCAUUAACAUAAUCAUAUAUACAUAAUUUAUAGUCAUGUAAUGUGCCGUUGAUCAAAACUUAUGAUAUAAUAAUAAUAAUAAUAAUAUAAUAAUAAUAAUAUAAUAUAAUAAUAUAAUAAUAAUAAUAAUCUUACACCAUCUAUCAGUUAAUGACAAGUCACGUGUCGUAUUAUUUAAGACCCAUUACGUUUUUUUAAUUAUGUAUUGAUAGUAUUAUUAACAAAACAAUUAUUAUUAUUUUUUCUUUUCCCUAGCUUCCACUAUUUUAUCUAUUUAUUUUUAUUUUUAUUUAUUUUUAUUUGGAAUGAAGCUUCCACCUUAAACAAACGAAGAAAGUGCUGACCAGCUGGUAAGAUUCCUCAAAAGUGUAAGCAAGACGACGCACUUUCGAUUGUUAAAAUGAAUCAGAAGAGCUAAAGCGGUUUCUUUAUGCGUUCCUUAAUGUUGUAGAUGUAGUUCUCUUUUUUCUUUUUUCAUAAACUUGCACCCACAUGGAGGUAAGCGAAACUGGCUUUUGCCUUUCGUUCGUUCAUCAAAUUUUAAUAUCACUUAUUACGUCGCUUAAUUGAAAUCUCAUGUAUUUAUUUAAAAAAUAAAAAUAAAUAAUUUAAGAAGUUGAUACAAAUAAAUGAGAAGAUAAAAAUUAGUUGCAUUAAUAAGAUAUUUUAUUUUCAAGUGAGUUUUUAAUCAAAGAUUCUCAAUUUUAAAAAUUAAAAAAUAAAUUAUAAUAUAUUAAAAUUUAUUGAUAACAUAACAUCUUCAAAAUAUUCUAGUAUUUUUUAUAACAGAACAUGAAACUAAGUAAUUUAGUGAUCCUCAAAUAAUUUUUAUUAAUUUAAAAAAAUAAUUAAUACACUCUUAAAAUAUUAUAAUAAUUUUUAUAAUAAUACAUCAAUAAAGUAUUCGAAUGAUAAUAUUAUUAAUAUUUAUUGAUAAUGGCACCUCAAAGUUCAACUCUAAUUCCUUCUGAGCUACGCAAUUAAGUAAAGUAAAUAGCAAGAAAGUCACAUCAACGCGCUUUGUGACACAACAACAUGACGUUUAAAGAGCCUCGCGGCAGAUGCAAAUAUCGAUUGACUGAAAAGAAAGCUCAAAUUGACAAUUCGUUUAACCCAACAGUUUAAAAUACUGAGUGAGAUCUUGGCAUAAAACAGUGAAAGCUAAAGCAUAAAGAAAAGAAUGUUAAGGAAAAGAGAAAAAAAAAAAAAAAAGAGAAUGAAGAAGAUGCUUUAUCUCUCUUUUUGCGUCAUUUAGAACGUAUGCCAACCAUGCACGUCCACGUCAUUUUAAUCCACGAAGAGAUAAAUAGAUCACUAACAGACAGAGUCAAUAUAUAUUCUUCAUGUCAAUUAUGGCGAGAGCUUUUCCUUUUUCUUUGGGACACAUGGUCUGUGAGAUAUGCUCGCGGAUUAAAAUUCAAAUUAAUUUCUUUGACCUCUAUCUAAAAUAUUUAGGAUUUAAAUCGGUUAAAUAAAUCAAUUUUAAAAAUCACUCAAAUUAAUCCUCUUAAAAAUAAGAGAGCCAUGUUUACUUUAGGAGACCACUGAUAUUAAAUUACUAAAAUGAUAACAUCAAAAUAAAAUUGGUAUUAUUGUUCGUGCCGUCACAAUACCAUUGUAGUACACAAAAUGACGACAUUGUUCAUACUAAAAUACUUUUCUUUUCUUGGUAGUUAAAUAUUAUUUUUCUUUUUUAUUACACGUGAAAGUAUUUUUAUUAUUAGCAAUAAACAUGCACAAUAAGAAGUGAAUAGAAAUUAACAAUAUUUUAAAUUUAAAUAAUUAUCGUAGACUCUCGUAGACUUAGCUAAACUUUUACUGCAUGCGCGCGCACACACACAACAUAAAAAUGACACCGCGAAUUAAAAAAACUGUAAAUUUUGCGAGGGCUCGAUUUUAAAUUUGCACAGAAAUCAGACAAAUUUCAGAUCAGUCCCUUAUGUUUCUCUGAAAUUUAUUCCAUCCCCCCCGACUAUCGAGUACAAGGCGCCAUCAUAUCCUCUGUAGCAUUUCUAGAAUCUUGGAAGUGGUCCCGCGCAUUUAGUCCAUCGAUCCUUGUCACCUGAUGGGAGUAAAACUCCUCGGUCAAAAGGAUUUGGUAUUCUCGCGGGCCCCACAAAGGAAAUUAAAAAACUAAAAAGCCAAAAAUAGGCUGCGCAUGGAAUACCAUGAAGCGGAAGUCCCUUCCUUCGGAAGUUGUUUGCAAGAGAAGACUUGGAAAUUAUCUACAACGUGCUAUCCCACCGUGUCUCCCGUAGACGCCAGCUUCGAUUGAUCCAUCCCAACUUUGUCUUUAUCAAAUUAUAAACGUCCCGAAGAAGCCCUUCUUCGCUCGACACGUGCACGUGCAUCAAAGGUUUCGUGUUAGCUUUGCGUUAUUUGCGAUUUUAAAGAAAGUGCCGUUGUACGGUUCUGCUGUUCCUUCAUCGCUUACGUGGAAAGGCCUGCGUGCUGACUCCUCGCAGACAGCCCCACUAAUUUCUUUAAAAAAAUAUAAAGUAAUGGAUACGGACUUAGCAAACCGGAUGUGCACAUGUGUUUGAGAAAUCAUAUAUAUAUAUAUAUAUUUUUUUCCUCAGUAAAAGCGUGACCAAAUACUGUCGAUUUUCAAUAAUUUUUUUAUUAAAAAAGAUAUAAUUUUCUUUACGUUGUGUAAAUGGGGUCCACAGGCGGACUGCCAAACUAGAUGCCUUGGGAAUCGUCAACCCUUCAGGCUGGAAAACGCCCCAAGGAGCGCCGCCUAAAAGCUAUCAUUAAUUUGUCGUCAUACGCGCCCAGGGAAAGCGUGUGUGGGAGCAAAUAUUCAAACGCCGGGACUAUUGGACACGUGUGAUAGUUUAAAGAGGCCGUAGCUCUGAGCUUUGCGGGAAUAAAAGGCUGAUGGUUCAGCACGCGCUCAUGGAAAUUUUUCACUCGUUCCAAAUUCCAAUCACCUUCUGUUCUUCCACAGCGACUAUGUCCAUUGACCCCCAGACACCUGAUGAUUAUUUUCGCGGUCUUUUUCAUUUCACAAAUUUUACCCUUUGCCAUCUUCACUUGGUGGGUGAAAUUUGAUUUUUGGGUACAAUGCAGAGUGGAUUUAAUCAUAAACUUCUUGAAUUAGAAAUAGUAAAAAUAUCCACCGUCCACUUAUUUUUUUUUUCUUUUAAAUAUAUAAUUCUUUUUUUUACUGAAAUUCACCUAAAGUUACAUUUUAUUUUACUUUUCCAGUUUUGUUUUAAAUUCGUUAAGAAAACUAACGGAAACUUAAAAAAAUGAUAAUUUUACCUCCAAAACGAAAAUUAUAAUUUCACCAUAAAAAAAAGCCAAAAACAAUAAGAUUUAAUGAUGAAUAUCAUUAUUGGUAUGUUAAUGAAGUAUAAAAAAAUCUUAACUACUAGAUAUUAUAACUCAAUGAAUAAUAAAAUUCUACUUAUUUUAAAUUCAAUUGAGCUAUUUUUAAUACUACUGUUAUAAUUUAGCAUUCUAAUUACAUACAUAUUUAAAAAAAAACCUUGCAUUUGAUGGUUGUGGAAUUAAUUUCUUUGUUGACCGAUGGGGAAAAUAAUUAGAUUUAAUUUGAUUAUUUUUGGUAAUUUUUAGGAUGAAAUUAUAAUUUUCGUUUUGGGGGGCAAAUUUGUCAUUUUUUAAGUUUCUGUUAGUUUUCUUAACGGAUUCCAAACGGAAGUGGAAAAAUGAAACAAAAUGUAUCUUUAGGUGGAUUCCAACAAAAAAAAAAUUGUGUAUUUUUUAAAAAUUAGAAAAAACGGGUGGACAGUGGAUAAUUUCUCUUAAAAAUAUUAUCCGAAGGAUAAUUUUAAGUUUGGUCCUUUUACAUAAUGUAGAUUUGUGGUGGUAUUUUUUUUUUUGUGAUGGUUAAAAGAAUAUAGGCACACAUUAGACAAUAGUAUAAAGUUAAGAGUAUUGGACUAUUCUUUUUAAAAUUAAACUAGUCUUUUGUUUGGUGCCGCAAAGAUAAGUGAGGAUUAUCAAUUAUGUACCCUAAGACCACACCAUUUAAUCUUGGGCACAUACUUUUAUAAAGUACAAUGAAAAUUUUUAUCCCAUGGGGACCAUAGGGAUAAUGCGGGAUAAUUUUUUUCAUGCUUAAAAAUAAUUGUAGAAUAACUACACGAUGAAAUAUCUAUAACUAUUAUUACAUUAUAUUAUCACAUUGAUUAAAUAUUUAUUUACUUUAAUUUUCAUUUUACUUAACUAAUAAUAAAAAUGUUAGAUUUAUAUUUUGUGUGUUUGUGUGUGUAUAUGUAUGUAUAUUGUGUGUAUAUGUAUCUAAACAUACACAAAUGAUCAAUUACACACAUUAUUGUACGCGAUGAGCUAUGUGUCAUCUAAUCAUGGCUGUGUGGCACAUCUAAUUAGGUGUGUAUAAUAAUAAUAAACAACUUAAAUUAAUAUUUAGGUUUUUUAAUUUAAUAAUUUGAAUAUUCAUAUUAUUAAAUCUAUAUUUAUAAAUUUACUCUAAUAAAUAAAUACUUUUAAAUGUUUAAUAAUCAAUAAAUCAAUAUUAAUAUACUUCAUUUUCUUAUAAAUUAUUUUAAUAAAAUCCUACAAUAGACCAAACAUGAGAUAAUACUAAAUAUAAAUAAAACCCAAUCUUAUUCUAUCCCGCUAAACCCAUCUUAUAAAAAAAAGUAAUUUAAGUUCUAAUGGUGGCGGGAGCUGGAAACCUGAAAGGCCGGAAGCCCGGCUGAAGCUCUUACCUCAAUUUCCAACUGAAAAUUAAUAAUUAAUAAUUAAUGAUGAACGCUCAUAAACAUAAAAAAAAAUAUCAUAAAAAUGAACGAUCUUUCCUUUGCCCUCCAACGGGAGCAACUGAGCAAGUAGUAAGUGGAACCUCGCCACUUUCCUUGCAAAACGGGAGCAAGUAGCAAGUGUGUAGUGGCUAGGGAUGGCAAUGGGGCAGAUAUGGGUUGGAUCUACUCUGCUCCAUAUCUAAAUCCAUAAUAAAAAUCAAGAUCCGUAUCUGCUCCAGAUCCGUUAUGAAUUCAUAUUUUUCGUUCCAUAUUCAGAUCCAAAAAAGAAACAAAUAUCUAUAUCUGCUCCAAAUCCGAAAAAAAAUUAAAAUCCAAAUCCGCUCUAGAUCCGUCAUGAAUUCUAAAAUUCCGUAAUAAAAAAGUAAUAAUUUUUUAGAUUGAAAAUUGAAGGCUAAAAUGUAUUGAUAACAAAUAAAUUAUAUAAUUUUUCUCAAAAAUAUAAUAAAUAUUGUUGCUUAUACUUCUACACCAAAACAACAAAUAAGAAAGAUAAUAAAAUAUCAUUCAAAAGUAAUUACAGGAGUAAGAUCAAUCUAAUAUUCUAUUGUCUCCUUCAUCAUUCUAGUAUCCAUGAUACACAUACCCUCAUUCCUACAACAUUAGAUAAUAACAUAUAAAUUAAAUAUGAUUUAUAUUCAGUCCUUUAUUAUUUUUAUUAUGACCAUAUUUGACUAAAUAUAUGAAUAACUAUAUUCCUUAAAAAUUAUUUGGCCAAUAUGAUAAAAUAAAUUACCAAGUUAUAUUACUUGGAUUGCAAUUUGAAUAUUGCAUGUACAUGCUUUGAGGCUGGCUGACUUUUAAAUUUACAAAACUAAUCUUUAAGUUUUAAGAGUUUAAAUUCAUGGUAAAUACUACUAAUAUGCUAUGAAUAAAAUUUAUUAUCAUUAUCAUUAUCAUUCCACAAUUAUUAAGAAACUUUUAAAAUAAAAUAAAAUUAAAAGAUGAGUGGAUAUGGAUAUGUAUUUAGAUAUUAAAAUAGAUUCAUAUCUGCUCCAAAUCCGUCUUAGAUCCGCACAUCGAUAUCCAAAUCUGAUCCAAAUCCGAUCCGAUUGAAUUUGGAUCACAUGGAUCUUGGAUCAAAUCCAAUCAAUUGCCAUCCCUAGUUACGGCAACAAAAGCGCGUGCUACAUUUACACGUCAUUAGUAUAAAAAGCUAGGGGUAAAUCCGUCAGAGGACCAAACAGUCGCCAUACUGCCACGAAGCAAUAAAAUAAAAAGAAUUUCCAUUGCACGCCUUGCAUUUAAUUCGAUCUCUCUCUCUCUCUCUCUCUCUUAAACCUUGGUCCUUAUUAUUUAUAUACACACCCCCUAUUCCUCCCUCCUUCUCUCUGUUUCUUCUGAAGUCUGUCGCUCUCUCGCUUUAUUUGUGUGACCAUCACUUCACUUCGGUUCCUCAAAAUUUUCUAUCUCAUUUCACCUUUCUGUUUUCGACAAUGUCUCGACGUGGUGGCGGUGGUCGUAGGCCGGAUUCUCGCCGUGACCAGCCGACUCAGGCACCGGCGCCGUCAUUCCAGCGGGGUGGCGGUGGAGCCGCUGGACCACGGGGCCGAGGUCGUCAAGGUCAACGUGGGGGUGCUGGUCGUGGAUCGCAUUCCGGCUCCGGUGCAGCCCCUUCCUCACCACACACCGCUUCGACUUCGACGGCGCCGGCUCCUUCGUCUCCGUCUGUUUCUGCUUCUGCUUCUGCUCCUUCUUCGUCUUCAGUCUCUACUCUUGUCGAAGAAACGGAGCAGAAACUGACAUUGGCGGCACCAGCGGCGGCUACUCUUCCGCCUUCGUCGUCGCAGGCGAUGAGAUUUCCGGUGAGGCCGGGAUUUGGAACUGUUGGCAAAAAAUGUGUUGUCAGAGCAAAUCACUUUAUGGUGCAACUUGCCGAGAGAGACAUUCAUCACUAUGAUGUAAGUCUACUUUUAAUUUUGUUAUUUUUGAAGACGUUUUGCUGUUUUUAUUUUUUAUUUUUCGUUUUUCUCGUCAAUUUUGAUUUUAUUUAAGAUUCACCAUUCGUGAGCGUCGAAUUCGAAGGUGUCGGGGUUUUGUUGAUAUUUAAAAAAUAUACAUAUUCUUUUGCUUAUUUAUUUAUUUAUUUUUUAAGGUUUCAAUUACUCCAGAGGUGACGUCAAAAAAAAUCAACAGACAAAUUAUUUCUCAGCUGAUUAAUUUAUAUCGGCUGACUCACUUGGGUGAACGAAUGCCUGCCUAUGAUGGUAUGAAGAGCAUUUACACGGCAGGGCCGCUGCCUUUUGAAUCGAAGGAAUUCAUUAUCAAGUUACCUGAUAGUGAUCCUCGUCCCAGCUCAUCUACCAGGCCGAG
rnacentral:lncRNA from 1 species